rnacentral:rRNA from 1 species
CCUACGGGAGGCAGCAGUGAGGAAUAUUGGUCAAUGGGCGCGAGCCUGAACCAGCCAAGUAGCGUGAAGGAUGACUGCCCUACGGGUUGUAAACUUCUUUUAUAAAGGAAUAAAGUGAGGCACGUGUGCCUUUUUGUCUGUACUUUAUGAUUAAGGAUCGGCUAACGCCUGGCCAGCAGCCGCGGUAAUACGGAGGAUCCGAGCGUUAUCCGGAUUUAUUGGGUUUAAAGGGAGCGUAGAUGGGUUGUUAAGUCAGUUGGGAAAGUUUGCGGCUCAACCGUAAAAUUGCAAUGGAUACUGGCAGUCUUGAGUACAGUUGAGGUAGGCGGAAUUCGUGGUGUAGCGGUGAAAUGCUUAGAUAACACGAAGAACUCCGAGUGCGAAGGCAGCCUACUAAACUGCCACUGACAUUGAUGCUCGAAAGUGUGGGUAUCAAACAGGAUUAGAUACCCCAGUAGC